CGUCGUUUUCAAGGGUUUUGUCCGAAGAAGCGGGCGAGGCGAGCGAAAGAAAAAUGGCUACCUUCUCAGCGAGCGAGCUUCGAUCGUCUUCCUCACUUCCGAUCCAACAGAGAAUGUUGCGCAAAGGACCGGUCGGCUUCUAUGGGAAUAGGGCAAGCGGAUGGAGUCUGGCCGGUUGAAGUCUUGCAACCGGAACAGUGACAAAGAGCCCAUGCGUGCGAGCGGACUUCGGCGGUUGGCGAAAUCGACGGGAUCUAGCCGAAGUAUUCGAAUAGGUAAGAGGUCGGUCGGAUAUUGGGAUCGGAAGGAUUAGCUCGGAGGGAUGCGGUCGCAGAUUGGAGAGGAGGAAUCGCGAACAGGGUUUUGGCGUGAGGAAAAGCGUGAGGAAGAGAAUUAUUCUCGCUGGGAACAGGCGAAGGAGGUCUGGUCGUGAGCGAGGGAAUGGAAGAGAGUGGAAGAACGACAGCUCUCUCAUUCUCAUUUUAACUUCAAGGCCAGAACGUGCGAGAGGCGACGUCGAUUUCGUGGAAAACGUCGUGCGAGCGGCUUCCGGACAGGCAGUGAGCUGUUGCUUGAACAAGAGGGCUGGGUAUUUUGCAUCUACUCUGGACUGGCAGUCAGAUUUGCUGGCCAUUCCACUAUAGCCACUGGAAAUCUCUAAUUCUGGGGAAGAUGAACGGGUGAUCUGAAAAUGCAUUUUACUCCAGACUAGCUGAACUGCUUUGUCUAUGAUUUGCACCUGACUUUGACACAUUGCUUAAUUUGAGGGUAUUUUGUAGAAGAAAUAGAAGGGUGGAGGUUGUUGAAAGCCAGUAAGCAAGUUCCCCAAUGUUUUCCUGAUUCUGUACGGAACAACAAUAAUAACAACAUCAAAUAUUUAUCCCACUACGUGGGGUCGGCUACAUGAAUUCUUUUUUUCCAUUGUGUUCGGUUAAGAGUUAAAUUCUCAUUUAGAUCUAAUAAAAACAAGUUGAUUUUGUACACAAGAAACAGUAAAUUCAAACUCUGAUGUUUGUAAUUGAUUGUAUGAAUUCACGAUAAUUCCAUUUAUAUUGAGUCAAAAUGAGCCAUUGAUUGGAUUA